AGGGUGCCAUCCUGUGCUCACAUGUUGAUAUGAACAAAGUGUGUGUGAACACAGCUGGUGGUAUCCUAU
rnacentral:pre_miRNA from 1 species